UAGGGGGGUCAGGGCCCGGCACCCCUCCCCGAGUCCUGGGUAACUAUUAAUGUGGAGGGGAA
rfam:Ovis aries breed Texel chromosome 2, whole genome shotgun sequence.